GGGGGGAGCAAGCGUUGUUCGGAAUCACUGGGCGUAAAGGGCGUGUAGGCGGUCAAGUAAGUGGGAUGUGAAAUCCCUCGGCUCACCCGAGGACCUGCAUCCCAAACUGCUUGGCUUGAGUAUGGGAGAGGAUGAGGGAAUUCCUGGUGUAGCGGUGAAAUGCGUAGAUAUCAGGAGGAACACCGGUGGCGAAAGCGCUCAUCUGGCCCAAUACUGACGCUGAGGCGCGAAAGCUAGGGGAGCAAACGGGAUUAGAUACCCCGGUAGUCCUAGCCGUAAACGGUGAUCACUAGGUGUUGGAGGCAUCGACCCCUCCAGUGCCGCAGCUAACGCAUUAAGUGAUCCGCCUGGGGAGUACGGCCGCAAGGUUGAA
rnacentral:rRNA from 1 species